UCCACGCCGUAAACGAUGGGUACUAGGUGUAGGGGGUAUCGACCCCUUCUGUGCCGGAGUUAACACAAUAAGUACCCCGCCUGGGGAGUACGGCCGCAAGGUUGAAACUCAAAGGAAUUGACGGGGGCCCGCACAAGCGGUGGAGCAUGUGGUUUAAUUCGACGCAACGCGAAGAACCUUACCAGGGCUUGACAUCCUCUGACAGCUUAAGAGAUUAAGUGUUCAGUCUUCGGAUUGACAGAGAGACAGGUGGUGCAUGGUUGUCGUCAGCUCGUGUCGUGAGAUGUUGGGUUAAGUCCCGCAACGAGCGCAACCCUUAUUC
rnacentral:rRNA from 1 species